CGGCGUGCUUAACACAUGCAAGUCGAACGAUGAUCCCAGCUUGCUGGGGGAUUAGUGGCGAACGGGUGAGUAACACGUGAGUAACCUGCCCUUGACUCUGGGAUAAGCCUGGGAAACUGGGUCUAAUACCGGAUACGACCAUUCCACGCAUAUGGUGGUGGUGGAAAGCUUUUGUGGUUUUGGAUGGACUCGCGGCCUAUCAGCUUGUUGGUGGGGUAAUGGCCUACCAAGGCGACGACGGGUAGCCGGCCUGAGAGGGUGACCGGCCACACUGGGACUGAGACACGGCCCAGACUCCUACGGGAGGCAGCAGUGGGGAAUAUUGCACAAUGGGCGCAAGCCUGAUGCAGCGACGCCGCGUGAGGGAUGACGGCCUUCGGGUUGUAAACCUCUUUCAGUAGGGAAGAAGCGAAAGUGACGGUACCUGCAGAAGAAGCGCCGGCUAACUACGUGCCAGCAGCCGCGGUAAUACGUAGGGCGCAAGCGUUAUCCGGAGUUAUUGGGCGUAAAGAGCUCGUAGGCGGUUUGUCGCGUCUGCUGUGAAAGACCGGGGCUCAACUCCGGUUCUGCAGUGGGUACGGGCAGACUAGAGUGCAGUAGGGGAGACUGGAAUUCCUGGUGUAGCGGUGAAAUGCGCAGAUAUCAGGAGGAACACCGAUGGCGAAGGCAGGUCUCUGGGCUGUAACUGACGCUGAGGAGCG
rnacentral:rRNA from 1 species